rnacentral:rRNA from 1 species
UACGAAGGGGGCUAGCGUUGCUCGGAAUUACUGGGCGUAAAGGGUGCGUAGGCGGAUAGUUCAGUCAGAGGUGAAAGCCCAGGGCUCAACCUUGGAACUGCCUUUGAUACUGGCUAUCUUGAGUUUGGGAGAGGUGUGUGGAACUCCGAGUGUAGAGGUGAAAUUCGUAGAUAUUCGGAAGAACACCAGUGGCGAAGGCGACACACUGGCCCAAUACUGACGCUGAGGCUCGAAAGCGUGGGGAGCAAACAGG